UGAUAAGCGUGAGGUCGGAGGUUCAAGUCCUCCCAGGCCCACCAGUUACACGAUGCUAAAAGUUGCUAUAUUGGGAGAGUUGAUAAUCCCUUACAGGAAAUUAUUGCCCUUAAUAAAACUUUAUUUUCUAAAAGCAUUCAGAGCUGACAUAGAAUAGAGCUGACAUAGAAUUGAGAAUCUGACAUAGGAAUUAUUGAAAUUGUUUUGGAAUUAUUGAAAUUGUUUUCUAUCAUUUUAAAAGGCUAAAAUAUUCUGUCUCUAUUUUUAAAAUAGCAUCAGGUGUUUUGUAAGAGUGUGAAGUUUUUAAGUGUGAGGUUUUUUAUAUUUUAGUGUGAGGUUUUUAUAAGGGUAUGACGUGAGAGCGUUUUGACCUGUUUUAGGGGCCGUAGCUCAGCUGGGAGAGCACCUGCUUUGCAAGCAGGGGGUCGUCGGUUC
rnacentral:misc_RNA from 1 species